rnacentral:rRNA from 1 species
UACGUAGGGUGCGAGCGUUAAUCGGAAUUACUGGGCGUAAAGCGUGCGCAGGCGGUUUUGUAAGCCAGAUGUGAAAUCCCCGGGCUCAACCUGGGAAUGGCAUUUGGGACUGCAAGGCUGGAGUGUGGCAGAGGAGACUGGAAUUCCUGGUGUAGCAGUGAAAUGCGUAGAUAUCUGGAGGAACACCGGUGGCGAAGGCGGCAUUCUGGACCAUAACUGACACUGAGAGACGAAAGCCAGGGGAGCAAACGGG